UUCUGAACCAGUUCGCGAUUCAGUUUGAAUAAUUCAGACGGCUCAAACAAGAACUGAAGAUUGGAGCGGUUUCUCAAAAACGUGUAGGACACCGAGAACAUGACGAGUGCUGGAUAAAGUGGAUAUUUACGACAAACACUGAAACUAAACCCCGAAAUGCAUCCUAUCGUUUGCCAGGAAUGAAGAAGAACUUUAUGAAGUGGAACACCUGCGCGCGCGUGCAGCGUUUGAACGACUCUCUACUGAAGAAUGUUCAUGUGAAUUUGGCACAGAAGUGCAGUGGAUGCUUUUUUUUCAUCUUGGAUUUGCUGAACCUGACGAACAGGAGCAGAAUCUCUGGAGGCCUAGUUGUGGUAACACGCUAUAAAACAG
rnacentral:lncRNA from 1 species